UACGUAGGUGGCAAGCGUUGUCCGGAUUUACUGGGCGUAAAGAGCGCGCAGGCGGUCGGAUAAGUCGAAUGUGAAAUCCCUCGGCUCAACUGAGGAACUGCCUUUGAAACUGUCUGGCUUGAGGCCGGGAGAGGGUAGCGGAAUUCCCAGUGUAGCGGUGAAAUGCGUAGAUAUUGGGAGGAACACCAGUGGCGAAGGCGGCUACCUGGACCGGUUCUGACGCUGAGGCGCGAAAGCGUGGGUAGCAAACAGG
rnacentral:rRNA from 1 species